rnacentral:rRNA from 1 species
CCUACGGGGCGCAGCAGUGGGGAAUAUUGGGCAAUGGGCGCAAGCCUGACCCAGCAACGCCGCGUGAAGGAAGAAGGCUUUCGGGUUGUAAACUUCUUUUAUGAGGGACGAAACAAAUGACGGUACCUCAUGAAUAAGCCACGGCUAACUACGUGCCAGCAGCCGCGGUAAUACGUAGGGGGCAAGCGUUAUCCGGAUUUACUGGGUGUAAAGGGAGCGUAGGUGGCAUGGUAAGCCAGAAGUGAAAACCCAGGGCUCAACUCUGUGGAUUGCUUUUGGAACUAUCAAGCUAGAGUGCUGGAGGG